AUGAAGGCUUUCGGGUCGUAAAACUCUGUUGUUAGGGAAGAACAAGUGCUAGUUGAAUAAGCUGGCACCUUGACGGUACCUAACCAGAAAGCCACGGCUAACUACGUGCCAGCAGCCGCGGUAAUACGUAGGUGGCAAGCGUUAUCCGGAAUUAUUGGGCGUAAAGCGCGCGCAGGUGGUUUCUUAAGUCUGAUGUGAAAGCCCACGGCUCAACCGUGGAGGGUCAUUGGAAACUGGGAGACUUGAGUGCAGAAGAGGAAAGUGGAAUUCCAUGUGUAGCGGUGAAAUGCGUAGAGAUAUGGAGGAACACCAGUGGCGAAGGCGACUUUCUGGUCUGUAACUGACACUGAGGCGCGAAAGCGUGGGGAGCAAACAGGAUUAGAUACCCUGGUAGUCCACGCCGUAAACGAUGAGUGCUAAGUGUUAGAGGGUUUCCGCCCUUUAGUGCUGAAGUUAACGCAUUAAGCACUCCGCCUGGGGAGUACGGCCGCAAGGCUGAAACUCAAAGAA
rnacentral:rRNA from 1 species